UACGGAAGGCAGCAGUGGGGAAUAUUGCACAAUGGGCGCAAGCCUGAUGCAGCCAUGCCGCGUGUAUGAAGAAGGCCUUCGGGUUGUAAAGUACUUUCAGCCGUGAGGAAGGUGUUAAGGUUAAUAACCUUAGCAAUUGACGUUAGCGACAGAAGAAGCACCGGCUAACUCCGUGCCAGCAGCCGCGGUAAUACGGAGGGUGCGAGCGUUAAUCGGAAUUACUGGGCGUAAAGGGCACGCAGGCGGUUAAUUAAGUUGGAUGUGAAAUCCCCGGGCUUAACCUGGGAAUGGCAUUCAAGACUGGUUAGCUAGAGUCUUGUAGAGGGGGUAGAAUUCCAUGUGUAGCGGUGAAAUGCGUAGAGAUGUGGAGGAAUACCGGUGGCGAAGGCGGCCCCUGGACAAAGGCUGACGCUCAUGUGCGAAAGCGUGGGGAGCGAAAC
rnacentral:rRNA from 1 species